AUUGAACGCUGGCGGCAGGCCUAACACAUGCAAGUCGAGCGGGGUUAGCGGACCUGGCGGCGGACGGGGGAGCAAUGGGUAGGGAGAUGCCCGGUAGUGGGCGAUACCAGUGGGAAAAGACUGUUAAUACCGCAUAAUAUCUACCGUACAAACUGUGGGACCUUCGGGCGACAUGCUCACGGAUGCGCCAACGGGGGAUUAGCUAGUUGGUGAGGUAAAGGCCCACCAAGGCGACGAUCUCUAGCUGGUUUGAGAGGAUGAUCAGCCACACUGGGACUGAGACACGGUCCAGACUCCUACGGGAGGCAGCAGUGGGGAAUAUUGGACAAUGGGCGCAAGCCUGAUCCAGCCAUGCCGCGUGUGUGAAGAAGGCCUUCGGGUUGUAAAGCACUUUCGGCAGGGAGGAAGGGGUGUGUGUUAAUAGUACACACCUUUGACGGUACUCGAAGAAGAAGCACCGGCUAACUCUGUGCCAGCCGCCGCGGUAAGAC
rnacentral:rRNA from 1 species